rnacentral:rRNA from 1 species
AUUAAUAAAAAUAGUAACGUUUAUAUUUCACGAAAGAAAGUGAGCUAAAUAUGUAUGUAUUAUAUACGUGGUAUAGUAUCUAUAAAAUACUUGUUUAGGGGUGAUAGGCUUACCAAACUUUUUGAUAACUUGUUUCACACGAAAAGUAUUAAGUACAUAAACAUGCUUAAAAAGUCAAGCUUUUAAGCAUUUAUUAAAAAUAGUUGAAAUAUUUAACAUAGUAUAAAAGCUUGUUAUAAAAGAAUUAAAUAUUAAAUAUAUUUUUUUAUAGUUAAUAGUAUGAUAAUAUUUUACCACUUAAAUAUUUGAUACUGUUAUUAUUAGUAGUAAAUAAAAUAUGCUUAAGGAACUCGGCAAAUAUAAUCCGCUCAACUGUUUAUCAAAAACAUAGCUAUAUGAUUUAAUAUAUAGUUAUUUCUGCUCCAUGAAUAUUAAAUAGCCGCAGUACUCUGACUGUGCAAAGGUAGCAUAAUCAGUUGGCUUUUAAUUGAAGUCUGGUAUGAAGGAAAAUAUGGGUGGUAGCUGUCUUAGCAUACUUAUUUAAACUUGUUUAGCAAGUGUAAAUACGUGCUCUUAUACAAAAGACGAGAAGACCCUAGAAACUUGAUAAAGGUUUUGUUGGGGCGACAAAUUUACAUUUAACUAAUUUUUUUAAUACAUGACGUGGUACUGAUAGAUUUAAGUUACUCUAGGGAUAACAGCAUAAUUUUAACAGUUUGUGACCUCGAUGUUGGACUAGGUUUUUUAUUCUUUAGAUAGGAAUAAAAUAAGCUCUGUUCGAGCAAAUACACCUACAU